AUGUGUGAAAGAGAAAAGUCUCCCAUGGCAUCCUCAAUAGUAAUAGCCAAAGCCAGAGCCGCACCCGUAGCCACAGCCACAGAGAGAGCGGGAGCCAUACCCAUAGCCACAGCCAGAGCCAUAGCCACAUCCAUAGCCACAGCCACAGAGAGAGUGGGAGCGAUAUCCAUAGCCACAGCCAGAGCCACAGCCAGAGCCAUAGCCCAGUCUGCCAAAGCCACAGCCAUAGCUGGAGCCAUAGCCACAGCCCAGACCUCCAUAGCCACAGCCUCCAUAGCCGCAGCCUCCAUAGUAGCUGCCACACAUGGUGUUGGUUGUUGAGGUUGUGUUUAGGUAGAGAAAGAGAGAAGUGUCACUUCACUGUGUACAAUCCCCCUGCAGAGACCUUUUAUAUACCCUCAAUGUGGGUGGGAUCCACCACACAAGUCAUCCCAUUGGUUAAUUUGCGAAACCUCUGUGAGUAACUUGUUGACCCUUGGUUUUAGGGUAAGGCUUUGGGGGCAAUGAGGACAUUUGCUAUUGUUUAGCCACAUUGAAUCAUCUGUGAGUCAUUCAUAAGAAUCAGUUGUCCUAGCUUCAAAACCCUACUUAUACAAGAUCUUCAAGUUAGCAAUUUGUAACCAAUCUUUAUGACAAGAAAUAGCAUUUUAGACAUUCUGACCUCAAACCACCAAACGACCAGCCUUCUUUUGGCUGACAUUCAACAGGUCAUAAUAAUCUGCCUUAAUUUGAGAUUCUCCAUCUCUUCUUCUCUGUUUCAAAACAUUUUUUCUUUUAGGGAUUUUCCUUAUUUUCACAUGAGGAGUAGCUUACUAGGAAAAGCCAAAAGGUAUCACUCAACUUCAUGAGACUAUUAACGAAAAGCCAAUAGUUUAAAAUUCUGGAACACCAAGGCCUGAAAAAACUGGGCUUUUCUUUCUCACUUAUAUUAAUAUUUCCUUUUAUGACUCUACUUUUAAAACAUCAAUUUUUUUUCAUGAUUUCAAAUUUAUGUCCUGAAUCUAUAGCCAGGAAAUAGAAAUGAGAUUUUAUUUCCUUUAUAAAAUUUCAUUUUCAUGAAUGAGUUUUCUUUAUACUUAAACAUAUUUGUAAUGUUUGUGUUUUGGCUCAAAGAUGAAUAUAGGCAUUUCUUUAUUUAAAAUAAUACUAGCAGAGUUACCUUUCAUGACACUAAUAAAUUUUCAUCAACAAACAAUGAAGUCUUGGUAAAACAUCUUGGACAAUGAGAAAUAUAUUACUAAUGGUCAGGGUUCUUUUUUUUUUUUAAAUAUAAAAAAGCUCAGACCUUAACUGGAGGAUUAAGUGAAAUAGCCCUCUAAUCUUCUGUUCUUUGUAAGAUGACCUCAUGGGAGUCCAUAGAGCAUAAGAGAUAUGAAUAAAAUUCUGAAAUCAGCUCUCUGGGUUCAGAUCUUACUUCUAUCACUUAUAGCUUUGUGACCACUAUAAUGGUGUACCUCGGUUGCUCUAUCUGCAAAUGGGACAGUAAUAACAAUAAUAAUAAUAACACAAGAUAAUUUCGAGAGUCAAAUUAGUGCGUGUCAAACCCAACAGUGUCUGGCACAUGGUAAGUAGAAGAAUAAUCUUUGCUAUUAUUAUUUCUUUCAUCCUCUGUAUCCCUGAAUAUAAACUUUAGUGGAGAGUGGAUGAGUUGAACAAGAGAACUCAGACACAGUUAAGUCCUCAUUUGGGGGUCUUGGGUCAUUGCAGCCAAAGGAAAGGACUCUACCUUAUGACUGUGUAUCUAAAAGUAGAAAAAAAGCAUUCUCUAAUUUUCCUGAGAAGGAGCAAGUCCCAUGAGUGGCCAACAAAUAUAACACAAGCAAGAAGAGAAUAUAACAAUUGGUGCCUACCCAGUUGGAUUUGAGUUCAGAUUCAUUAUGCUCCCUAGCACAAUAAAAAACAUUCCUGGCUGUAAAGCCACAAAGAUGCAGCACUGAAUAGCAGGUAAUGGAUUGACCAGAGGAGCUUUUGGCUAAUGGCAAUGGGAAAUGGCAAUAUGUGCUAUGUAAACAUAGGUGUCAGCGCAGGACAGAUGAAGGUGCUCCCUUCUGAUCAGUAGCAUCUGUCUGCACAUUAGAGUCCACUCAGGAGAAGGUGGAGUUGGUGAAACUUUUAAUUCAAUUGAGCUUUCAUUCUGCAGACUAGAAUGUCAGUGAAUUUUGUUAUUUACCCAGAAGGGACAAGAAUAAAUGUUUUAUCUACUGGAAAUGGUAACUCAAGAUAGAAUUUGGUAAAAUAUGAAAAUAAAGCAUAUUUGUACACCUGUAAAGUUUUAUCUUAUAAAAAUGUUGCCUAAGAGAUACCUAGGUAGUUCAGUUGGUUAAAUGUCUGCCUUCAGCUCAGGUAAUAAUCCCAGGGUCCUGGGAUCCAGUCCCAGGUCUGGCUCCCUGCUCAGCGGGGAACCUGUUUCUCCCCCUCCCUCUCCCUCUGCCCCUCCACCCAAUCGGGCUCUCUCUGUCUCUUUUUCUCUCCUCUCUCUCUCAAAUAAAUAAAAUCUUUCAAAAAAUGUUACCUGAAUUAUGUAUUUAAGAUAAAAUGAGUUUUAUCUAAAAGGAAACAUAUAUCCCAUUCUUUAAAUAAAACUUACCCUUUAGCACUUUGAUUUUUCCAAAGCUAAACAAGAGUAACUUUUUCAACUGCAAGGGGCAGAUGAAUUUGAGAUUAUUAAUACACUCAAAACAAUUUGCGUCAAUUGCAGUUUUGCAUAGUUUUUGUGAUUUCAUAGAAUUUCAUUAUGGAAUUGAAAUUUGAGUCCUCAAUGAGAAAAUCAAGUCAGAUAUCUGUUGUUCGAUGCACAUGAUUUGACUGUGAAAAUCUUGACCCAACCGCAGAGUAGUUUUGGCUAUGAAGGCGUCCCAAUGCCCAAUGAAAUGAGAGAUUCGUGAGAAUUUUGUUUUUGGUGUUGCUCUAGUUAAUGAGAAAUAACUUCUAAUAAGGGCAACAUUACCUGUGACUUGCCACAUCUACACUGAAGAAUUAUAGAUCUUAUGAAGGGAGUGAUAUUCAGUCAUCUUCCUCUUCUGCACCAUUCACCCUGAUACACGACCUACUACAGCAACUACUAUGGGGGCUGUGUGGCUCUGGUGGGCUUGGCCAUGGCUACAGCUGUGGCUACUGCUUUGGCUAUCAUGGGUAUCACGGCUACAGAUAUGGCUGAUGCCACCCAUCUUGCUAUGGAAGAUAUUGGUCAUAUGGAUUCCACUGAAAAAUUCUAGAAUGCCUGGACUCACUAGAUUUGUCAUCCUGUGAAACAUGAAUUCUGCUGCUGGUCUUGUUCAUCCCAUCCUGUCUCUUUAAAAUAGUAAAAAUCUAAAUCUAGGCUAUCAUGAAAGAAGCAGAGAUGUCAUCUUUCUCUCGUUCCAUCGUAUAUUCUUUAUGAUCUUUCUUAAAGAAUAUAUUUUAUUUUUUUUAAGAAUAUCUUUUAAAAUGCAACAGAAGUCUCCCCUUGAUCACUAAGUACUUCCUUCAAUAAAUUUAAUCUUUUUGCAAAGAUGAUAUGCUUUCACAUUUAUUUAUUUUCACUGUCAUUUCUGCAUAUGGAUGAUUAUAAGAUAAAAAUAUGUGUGUAGUAACUAUCCCCAGGGAAAGAUGCUACUUUCUUCCAUUUGUUUUUUUCUGUUCUUUUUUAAUCCCUCUGCAUAUUUCCCACACUAUUUAAAGCUGAGCUUCCACAUGACACAGUUGAUUGCUUCCUCCUCAAUAAAUUUGGCUUCUCUUUAAUUCAUAGGCCAAAUAAUUCAAAACACACCUG
rnacentral:lncRNA from 1 species